GAUUUGAUUAAGGAUCACAUGACAAGCUCCUUCCAUUCCAUGUUAUACUUCACAACACAACAAAGAUGUGGCAGGCCAAAUUAUCCAUGCACCUUCCUUCCCUUUCCUCUCCCCUAAAUCUGAAUCUUUCACACAACUACAAUACAUUCGUAUGUGAUAUUUCCAAGCACAGUAAUUCUCUUGUUUUUUCUAGCCUCAGUUGUUGUUUGUUUCAGUUAAACCCUGCCAUGAUAACAACUCAACGUGCUUUGAUGGUUCUCUUUGUCUUAAUGCUCUUAAAUUUCAUGACAUUUUCCAUAGUUUUGAUCAAUAGUGAAAGUAGUAGUAAUCUUAUAGAUAGGUUUCCUCCGCGGAAGCUGCUAGCUCAUGCCUCCUCCUUCUCUGCAAGUUUAGAUAAGUUGAAAACACCUUAUGAAACCUCUCAGAGAUCUUUAGACACAAGUUUAAGGAAGUCUCCUCCAAGCAAAUCAAAUCCAAUCCAGAACAAGUGACUUCUACUCUAUUGAAUUCCAUUUUUGUUGAAUAUGGUUUAUAUUCACUGUUAAGUAUGCAGACGCUCAAGCGUAAAGUAGCAGAGUGAGUGGAGCUGAAAGCGCGACACUGCGGAGGGCUUGUAUGGUUCAAGGAUAAACUUGUAAUCGUGAUCAUAGUAUUUAAUCACAGGUUGCACUAUGUUACGUUUGGAUGAAACAUGUAGCAUAACCAAAAAUAAUCAAGCAUGAUACUUGGAUUGAAGCUACAGCAGGAAAAUGGUUCCACAGCAGCCAAGUACAAGUAUUUUUGUUGGAUUGAACAAAUGUCAUGUUAUUACCAAUAAGGAGUUGGAUCAACGACCGUCGGAUCGUAAAGGAAAACAAGCAAGAGAGUGCACUGUGUAAGGAACUUCAUCUGUGAGGUUACUGGUUUUGCACCCUACAAAAAGUGUUGAGUUACUGAAGGUUGGAAAGGAUAAGAGAUUGCUGAAGGUUGGAAAGUAUAAGAGGGCACUAAAAGUUGCCAAGAGAAAGCUUGGAACCCGUAAAUGUGCAAAGAAGAAGCGUGAAGAGAUGUCUAUCGUUCUCUGAAAGAUGAGGGCUGGUGGAGCCGGUGAUAGAAGAAAUAGGUCUUGUUCGUUUCAUUCCAUAGUAGCAAAAUGUACUGAUGUUUUAAAAGACAAGUUGUCUAAGUUUUGUUUGGUUCAGUUAUGUAGUGUGGCUUUUACUUCUAGAGAUAUCUUGUUUUGACUAUAUGAUUUAUGGAAAA